rnacentral:tRNA from 1 species
GGAGGGUACAGCUCAGUGGUAGAGCACAUGCUUAGCAUGCAAGAGGUCUUGGGUUCAAUCUCUAGAACCUCCA